AUAUUGGACAAUGGGCGAAAGCCUGAUCCAGCCAUGCUGCGUGUGUGAAGAAGGUCUUCGGAUUGUAAAGCACUUUAAGCUGGGUGGAAGAGUUGUAGGCUAAUACCUUGCAAUUUUGACGUUACCAACAGAAUAAGCACCGGCUAACUUCGUGCCAGCAGCCGCGGUAACACGAAGGGUGCAAGAGUUAAUCGGAAGUACUGGGCGUAAAUCGCGCGUAGGUGAUUCGUUAAGUUAGAAGAGAAAGCCCAGGGCUUAACCUGGGAAUUGCUUUCAAAACUGACGAGCUAGAGUACGGUAGAAGGUAGUGGAAUUUCCUGUGUAGCGGUGAAAUGCGUAGAUAUAGGAAGGAACAUCAGUGGCGAAGGCGACUACCUGGACUGAUACUGACACUGAGGUGCGAAAGCGUGGGGAGCAAACAGG
rnacentral:rRNA from 1 species